rnacentral:rRNA from 1 species
GACGAACGCUGGCGGCGUGCUUAACACAUGCAAGUCGAACGGAAAGGCCCUGCUUUUGUGGGGGGCUCGAGUGGCGAAAGGGUGAGGAACACGUGAGUAACCUGCCCUGUACUUUGGGAUAACUUCAGGAAACUGGGGCUAAUACCGGAUAGGAGCUCCUGCUGCAUGGUGGGGGGUGGAAAGUUUCUGCGGUUGGGGAUGGACUCGCGGCUUAUCAGCUUGUUGGUGGGGUAGGGGCUUACCAAGGCUUUGACGGGUCGCCGGCCUGUGAGGGUGACCGGCCACACUGGGACUGAGAUACGGCCCAGACUCCUACGCGAGGCAGAAGUGGGGAAUAUUGCACAAUGGGCGGAAGCCUGAUGCAGCAACGCCGCGUGCGGGAUAAGGGCCUUCGGGUUGUAAACCGUUUUCGCCUGUGACGAAGCGUGAGUGACGGUAAUGGGUAAAGAAGCACCGGCUAACUACGUG